rnacentral:rRNA from 1 species
GACGAACGCUAGCGGCGUGCUUUAAGCAUGCAAGUCGAACGCAUCGCAAGAUGAGUGGCAGACGGGUGAGUAACGCGUGGGAAUCUACCUAGUUCUACGGAACAACAGUUGGAAAGGACUGCUAAUACCGUAUACGCCCUACGGGGGAAAGCUUUAUCGGAAUUAGAUGAGCCCGCGUAAGAUUAGCUAGUUGGUGGGGUAAUGGCCUACCAAGGCGACGAUCUUUAGCUGGUCUGAGAGGAUGAUCAGCCACACUGGGACUGAGACACGGCCCAGACUCCUACGGGAGGCAGCAGUGGGGAAUAUUGGACAAUGGGCGCAAGCCUGAUCCAGCCAUGCCGCGUGAGUGAUGAAGGCCUUAGGGUUGUAAAGCUCUUUCACCGAUGAAGAUAAUGACGGUAGUCGGAGAAGAAGCCCCGGCUAACUUCGUGCCAGCCGCCGCAGUAA